rnacentral:rRNA from 1 species
CGUGGGUAACCUGCCCAAGAGACUGGGAUAACACCUGGAAACAGAUGCUAAUACCGGAUAACAACACUAGACGCAUGUCUAGAGUUUAAAAGAUGGUUCUGCUAUCACUCUUGGAUGGACCUACGGUGCAUUAGCUAGUUGGUAAGGUAACGGCUUACCAAGGGCAAUGAUGCAUAGCCGAGUUGAGAGACUGAUCGGCCACAUUGGGACUGAGACACGGCCCAAACUCCUACGGGAGGCAGCAG